CCGUAGAGGCAAGGGCGAAUCGAGUUAGCAUCCCGCCAUUCAUGCCAUGCCUUGUCAGCUAGGCUAGUUAGCUAAUUCCUUCCAAGACAAUCGAUUCUGCGAUGAUGCGCGUAAUCGAUCUCUUAUUAGCUUAUUCAAAAGUCAUUUCUAGAGGAAAUCUUUAUCUUCUUAUCCCAAAUUGGCAUAUCUGUCUUUUGCGCCUCUCUAUAUGUAUUUUUUUCGAAAUUGCGUAAAGAAAGAUGAUUCGCUUUUUUUAUGUUCCUUUAGCCUUUCGUGGAGAUCGAAUCCUCUUGCCCUCUCAACUCAUAUUUCCCACUUCGUCGGUCAAACCAACGAUUCUCUUCUCAAAGUAAUAGAGAGAUCUUUUUCUAGUUAGACUUCUAUCAAUGCAAUGAAAGAACCAUCCCUUCCUAUUUCUUUGUCCUGUCAGAAAUAGAAUAAGACCCAAAAGAGCCCUUCUUUACCACUUUAGGGGGUGGGGGUGAAGGGGGGGGGUUUACACACAACCGAGGCAAAGUGGUU
rnacentral:lncRNA from 1 species